CCCUCUUGAAGGAGAAGCCUUGAGUUGUGCAUCUUCUCUUGAUUUUACUGAGAGGAAAAAGAUGUGAAGAGGCAUUCUGUCUUGGCACUGAGCUGUGCUAACUUGGGGGAGAGGCUGAUGCAGAUUGACCUUGCUAGGUUAUAGAGGCAUGUUCUAUCGUCUUUAUUAAGGACCAAUGACCUUCUAAGAAGAGGAAGACACACCAGGCAUGCACACGCACAGAAAAGAAGACCAUGUGAGGGCACAGCAAGAAGAUGGCCAUCUGCAAACUAAGAGGAGAGGCCUCAUUAGAACCUAACCCUGCACCAUGAUCAUGGACUUCCAGCCUUCAGAGUUAGGAAAAUAAAAUUCUGUUGUUUAUGCCACCAAAUCUGUGGUAUUCGCUUAUGAAAACCAUAGAAAAUUAUACAAUACCCAACAAGCAAAUAGCAGAAUGGAAUUAAACCCAUAAAGGAUGGCUUCAAAGGCAAUGCUUAACCACUAUACUGCCUUUAAAAAUUGUCCUAACAGUUCAACUUCAAUUACAGAAAGUUUAUAAUAAUUAGAUGUUAAUACUUUUAUGCUUAACUUUAUAUUUCUAUUUCAAAUGCUUAUUUCCUUUUCAAUAGUUAAUAUUUUCUGGACAGCAAUUCUGGACUAUUUUCUAAAUUCUCUGUUUUCUAAAUUCUUAUGUCAUGCCCUCUGUCAUAAGAAUGUUUAUACCCUAUGAUCUUCUAAAAAUAAAUCCUUAAAAGAUGA
rnacentral:lncRNA from 1 species